CGUAACAAGGUUUCCGUAGGUGAACCUGCGGAAGGAUCAUUCACACGAAUCCAAACCUUUCAUUGUGAACAACGUUCUGUGAUGUUCUCGCUGUGGGAUUCAGUUCCAGCAGCUGAACAUCAAGGGUGGUGGGUCAGACCGGUGGGCACCCCCUGCCCGUCUGCACCGGUCACCAUUCAUUGGAAGCACCAUGCAGGAGCCAAGUUCUUUGCCGGUCGCGCCACGCGGCUUCACUCUUACAACUUUCAGCGACGGAUGCCUCGGUUCGAACAACGAUGAAGGGCGCAGCGAAGUGUGAUGAACAUUGUAAAUUGCAGAAUUCCGCGAACCAACGGAACUUUGAACGCAUACUGCGCUUUCGGGAUAUGCCUGAAAGCAUGCCUACUUCAGAGUCUCAUUGCUAUCAUGCGCCUGGAUUCCUGUCCAAGCAUGUGUUUGUGCAUCAGCGCGUGUCUUUACCGCUGAUGCAUUGAAACCAUUGGUGCGCUUCGAGCAAGGAGCACAUUGAGCAUCCCAUGCGCACUUGUUCCUUGUGCAGAUUCGCACCACUGAGACGAUCAUUGCAACUCAUUUGCACAGGACAUGAAGUUAGGUCAGCAAACCCGCUGAAUUUAAGCAUAUAAGUAAGCGGUGGAAAAGAAACUAAACAGGAUUCCUUUAGUAAUGGCGAAUGAACAGGGAAUAGCUCAGCAUGGGAAUCGGGGCCCUAGGCCUUGAAUUGUAGUCUCUCGAGGUAUCGCCAACGGAGGCGCAGAUGUAACUCUCUUGGAAAAGAGCGAUCAGCGAGGGUGAGAAUCCCGUCUGUCAUCCGCAGUCCUCCGUGCACGGUGUACCUUCUCCGAGUCACGUUCCUUGGGAUUGGAGCGCAAAGUGGGUGGUAAAUUUCAUCUAAAGCUAAAUAUUGGUUCGAAACCGAUAGGAAACAAGUACCAUGAGGGAAAGGUGAAAAGGACUUUGAAAAGAGAGUUAAAAGUGCCUGAAAUCGCUGAAAGGGAACCGAAUAGAACCAGUGCUUCUUGGCGAGAUUGCCCGCACCAAUGUGAUUGCUGGCUGCGUUCAGCGCAAGCGCCGCAGUUGGUUUUGAGCUGGUCGUGUGUGGUGUCUCUUAGCCUUGCGUGUCAACGUCGGCUCCGAGUCGAGGAAAACUAUUGUGAGGCGGUAGCUCUCCCAUUGGGGGUGUGAAUGCUUGCGAUGGGGACUCCUCUCGGGGCUGAAGCAUGCGUGCAAAGUCGCAGCAGCAUUGCGUCGUUGCUCCCAUUGUGGUGGGGCUUCUGCCCUGCCAAGUGGUGAGCAGCUUUGCGUGCUGUCUGCCUUUGCCCAAUGACGGUGACUAAAUGGUUUUAUCCGACCCGUCUUGAAACACGGACCAAGGAGUCUAACAUAUGUGCGAGUUCAUGGGUGGUAAAACCUAGCAGCGCAAUGAAAGUGAAUGCUGGGAUCUUUGCACCAGCAACCGACUGAUCGAUUGAGAGAGGUUUGAGUGUGAGCACAUCUGUUAGGACCCGAAAGAUGGUGAACUAUGCGUGAA
rnacentral:rRNA from 1 species